GCGUCCGUCCGCCGGCUCCCUCCCCCCUUAGACUACGAAUCUGGGGGUCAGGAGUUCGAAUCUCUUCGGGCGCA
rnacentral:tRNA from 1 species